UACGGAGGGGGCUAGCGUUGUCCGGAAUUACUGGGCGUAAAGCGUGCGCAGGCGGUUCGUUAUGUCCGAUGUGAAAGCCCCGAGCUCAACUUGGGAAUGGCAUUGGAAACUGGCGGGCUGGAGUGUGGCAGAGGGGGGUGGAAUUCCACGUGUAGCAGUGAAAUGCGUAGAGAUGUGGAGGAACACCGAUGGCGAAGGCAGCCCCCUGGGCCAACACUGACGCUCAGGCACGAAAGCGUGGGGAGCAAACAGG
rnacentral:rRNA from 1 species